AAAUGCAUGCUGUUAUCAUCAAUAAAUUUUAUACAACGCAAAUUAUUAAGAAAUAACAAUUAAAAUAGAAGUUGGAAUAUUUAGAGAACGUAAAAAGUCAAGAGUAAAGAAAAUGAAAACUAAAAUGCGGUUUUUUAUAAAUUUCCGGAGGCUGCUGAUCGUUCAGUGUUAUUAAAAAAAAUUUUUUCGAUAAUUUGAAAAAAGUUUAUAGAUUAAAUGCGUGGAAAAAGUUAUUAAAAAUAGAGAAAAUAACUCCUUACAUUUAAAAAAAAAACCCAAUUAUAUAUUGCCAAAUACAUUUAUUUUUGCAUUUAUUUCAUGGGGUUUUCUUUCAUAUGAGACGUUUGUACACAAAGAGCGCGAGUCUAUUCGAUCGAAUCAUCUAAAAUUCACAGGAAAGUUAAUGGCUAACAAGCUCUUUUGAUUGCCGCAAGAACCAUCCACACACACGGACACACACGCACACAAAAUUACAAUCCGAGAAAGUCAUCUUAAAAUGUUUAAAAAAAAAUCAAAAUUCUUACAAAACUCAAAAUAAAAAUUACAACAUAUGAUUUAGAAUAAUAAGGCCAUGGGACGAUAAGAAUACCGAAUCGGCCCCAGAAAGGUAUCGGGCUCCAAAAUUAAGGAAAUGUUGGUACUCAUAAGAUACUUCGAUGCUGCAAGUUUCAGAUCUUUAUCUAUUACCGUUUCUGAAUAAAUCGAAAAAUACUAUAAAUCAGUAAAAAUUGUUAUUUUCAGCACCUUGUGAAUCGAUUGAUCUAAAUACCGGAUGUGUUUUGGGGCAUGAUGGUAGCUUCUAAGAAAAACAAUAUGACCAUUAUGUGUUUAUAAGAACCUUAAAAAAAAACGAGGUUAUUUUCUUAAUUUUAAUUUUUAACCAUGUUACAAUAAUGAUAAAAAUAUGGAACUAUUUUUUUUGAAUUCCUCAUUCAAUUUUCGAUGAAAUUACGAGCAUCGGGAAUUUUUUAAAACGGUACUUCAUAUUGAAUAAAAUUUAAAACAGAUUUAUUGCUCAAAAAUCGAUUUUUGUUUAUGAUUUAACUCUUGCAAUGAUAAAAUACAGAACUUUUGCAAUUGCUGUACUAGUGAAAACAACAGAAUAAAUUAGGAACACUCAUAUAAAAAUUAUUUUAUUUAUUUAUUUUAUUUUAUUUAAAUUUCAAUGCCAAAGCAAAGAGCCAAAUGGCAAAAUACAAAAAAAGAAAUAUAAUUUAAAGUACAUGUAAAACCAUAAACAUAGUCAUUUUCAAAUUAAAGAUUUGACAUAAUAUAACAGUAUAAGAAAAAAGAAAAAAAAAAAUACAAAUAAUCAUAGAUCAGAGCAGUAUAGUUUUGUAUUGUAAAUAUCAAUAUAUAAUGUAAAUUAUUUUAAGAAAUAAAAUUAGCAGACUUUGAUCCCUAGGCAUCCCUGAGUUCAAGGUCAUAGAAGAAUUCAAAGGCUUUUGAUUUAAAUGCCUCUAUGCUUAGUGAGUUUAUGACAUCUGGUGGAAUUUCACGCCAAAGGCGUAUUGUUGAGAUUAAAAAGGAGUGCUCGUAUACUAAUGUCGAGAAAUUUGGAAAGCAGAAAGAGACAUUGUUGUACUUUGAAGCCAACCUUUCCGAGCGUCUGAUGUCUUGUGGCUCAUCAACAAAAAGACAUCUCAAAAAACUUGGUUGACCAGAACUGAAUAAUUUGUAUAAGAAACAGGCUAAAAGAUAAAGUCUUUUUGAUUUGAUUGAAAGCCAUUUUAAGGAGCGACGAUGAGGAGUGAUAUGGUCAUCACGUUUCAAAUUGUAUAGAUAAACCUGAUGCCGUUGUUCACCAAGCGCUGUAGUUUAUAGUCAAGUCUUUUGGAAUUGUCAAUCAACACCAAAGAGCAAUAAUCAAUUAUUGGGAUAAUUAAGGCUGUAAUGAGUAAUUUACGAUUUGCUGUAGACAGAAUGUUCUUCCUAGACUUGAGGCUAUUUAAUGCACCAUAAACCUUGCGUGUGGUAUGAGCCACAUGUACAUCCCAAGAGAGAUUAUUUGUUUUUAUUUUAUUUAUUUUGUAUAAUUGUCCUUUAUAUAAUGAACUCAAAUCAUUAUUAUAAAAUAUAUCUAUAACUAUAAUGAUUAAACCAGUAUAAAAUACUAUUGUUUAUAUAAUUCAACUACGUUUUAAGGAAUGUAAACUUUCCCGCUCCAUUAUUAGUUAAUUCAGUAACCAUACGAUAGCACUGUAAUUCCAAACUAGUAACACGUCCCGAUGAAAAAAGUCUUUGGCUAAUUAUGUAUGAUUAUAUAUCCCUGAUUAAAAAAAGCGAUUUAAAACGAUUUGCAAUGUUAAAUGCCCAUAAGAG